CAGCAGCCGCGGUAAUACGAAGGGGGCUAGCGUUGUUCGGAUUUACUGGGCGUAAAGCGCACUUAGGCGGACUUUUAAGUCAGGGGUGAAAUCCCGGGGCUCAACCCCGGAACUGCCUUUGAUACUGGAAGUCUUGAGUAUGGUAGAGGUGAGUGGAAUUCCGAGUGUAGAGGUGAAAUUCGUAGAUAUUCGGAGGAACACCAGUGGCGAAGGCGGCUCACUGGACCAUUACUGACGCUGAGGUGCGAAAGCGUGGGGAGCAAACAGGAUUAGAUACCCGUGUAGUCCCUGUCUCUUAUAC
rnacentral:rRNA from 1 species